ensembl:lncRNA
GGGCGCUGGACGCUGACCUGCUGGGGUGUGGCGCUGGGCAGGGCUUGCUGCUCUGAACGUGGCAGGUGCGCUGUACGCCGCAGACCCACAGGGCCCCUGCCUUCGGUCUCACCGACCUGAAACAGCCGGGCUGACCCCACAGCUCCUCUGCUUGUCGACCUGUGCGAGACCCACCCUAGAACCGUGAGCAGUGACCGAGAAGUUCACGCCCUCUAGCGUCUUCACUGUAGUGGGAGGGGGCAGCAAGAGGGAAAAGGAAGUGUAGUGUCUUUAGAAGACYGAGUGGCACGCUGAGUGGAUUUCCGCAUGGGGCUGGGGCAAGGAAAGGACUGAAGGAAAGGAGCUCCGCUGGAGUCUGGGGUGGUGAGGUGCGCGGCAGGGAGCCCCGCGCAUCCUAGUGUUGGGAGGGGUCUCUGGAGCUCCUCUGUAACUGCAGGCGUUAWGGUUAGGGCUGGGAUUAGAGCGUAGGGAGCAGGAGUCAGGUGGUCUGGGGGUGUGGGAGCACACGGGGCAGAGCUGGGCGUGGGUCAGUAGUGCCCCUGUGGGUGACCAGUAGACGUGGGCCUUGAGUCCUGUGAAGCUCCUUAGCUUGUAACACCUGGAAAUGGUUGGUCAAAGGAGUGACCACUGAGGUGACUAUAUGAAAUGGAGUCCUGGAGUUCUGGAGGAGCCCACCGGAAAGACCCAGCUGGAGCAACCCAGGGCAGAGCCACCGCCUGUGGGCGGGUCUGGCUUGUGUUAGCUGCUGGGGGUGAUUGCGAAUGCCCAUGGGGCUUUCAGAGGUCUUGGCAGCAGUAUGGAUGCAUCAUAGUGUGGAAACUGGAUCAUGGCAGGUUCCAAAAGUGCAGAUGUGAAACUGUGUUGAGAAUUCAUUCCAGGCCCAAGGUCCCUUCAUCCAACACCUGGGCUGCCAGCUGCUCUUCCAGGUGACCUCAUCUCACCAGCAGCACCAAGGCCACUACUCUGAGCCCUGCUCUGGUGUAUAGCCAUCCACUUUUCCACCAGGAGAUCUUCACAGCAUGACAACUCCAGGUCAUCCUUAGAGACUAUGCCCUCAUCCCACCCCUGCCAACGCUGAGGACAAGACAUGGGGCCUUCCUACCAUCUUUCUCUGUGCCUACACCAGCCUUCUGCUGACCUACCAGAGCCCAUCAGAAUCUGGCCAUGUGACCCUAACUCCACCCUGAUUCAACCCCCUGGGGUAGUGAGUAGCUUCCCUCUUCUGUCCUUUGCUCUGUAUCCAUUUUCAACAUGAUAUAGAGACUCUCAUAAAAAAUUAUUCAGGGCAUCCCUCCUCUGCUCAGAACCCUCCAGGGCUUCACUCAGCAGAAGCCUAAGGGUGGGGAACCCCAAAGGAGGAUGGGAAUCUGUGUUGUCUUGGUGGUGAGUUCACAGGGUUACACACAUCCCAGCCCACAAAGUAAAUGUGUGUAAAGGUGGACCCUAAAAUCAUGGCUCCAGGUCAGACUGUGGGGAGGGGAGGUCCUCCUCCCUGUGGAUGAGGGGUCCUCAUUCCUGUCUAUGAUCAGCCUUUCAGAGGUGCUGGCCUGUCCUCCUGUGAUCAAGUCUCAUUUUGAGGAACCAUUCCAGUUACCCACAAACCCUCAGUGAGGCAUCUGGCUCUACAGAGCAGGAGGAAUCGAGUUCUUUCUUGAUCCCACACUUCUCUGCAAGUUCUCUCUCAAACCCAUCAGUUUCUCUCCCCCAUCCCCAGGACCCUACUCAACAAGUGCCCUGGUCCAGAUCACCAGGACUUCCACCUCCAUAACCCCUACAUUUGACUGUGUCCUGCUCUCCUGGAAAAACCCUAGUUCCUGACCCCAGGCCAUCCUGAGAUGAGCAAUCAAAAAGCUGAUCCCUAGGCACCUGGGUCCAAGUAUGCCAGCUCUACCAAGCUACUCACUGGCUGCCCUACCUUGUGCACCACCCU